rnacentral:lncRNA from 1 species
UAAGUCACCAUUAAGUUAAAUUUAUUCUUGAAAAACAAAUGAAAAAUUUGUGUUAACUCUAACACAAACAUAGAUGAGCAAACAGCAGAAAAACUUCAUAACAUGCAUACAGCCAAAAAUCUAAAAUUCCAACCCAUAGCAAAAGCAUAGACAUUCUCUCAAGACAUCACAACCUGGUUUCUAAAUUGUGUUAAAUAGAACAAAAAGAAGAUCACUACAAACAUGAACUACAUAGUUUCUAAGUUCUUUUAAGUACAAUAACAUGGAGAAUGCUGCCAACAUGAACUGAAUUCCUACAAAGCAGACUUUAACUCAACCAAAC